AGUGAACGCUGGCGGUAGGCCUAACACAUGCAAGUCGAACGGCAGCACAGUAAGAGCUUGCUCUUACGGGUGGCGAGUGGCGGACGGGUGAGGAAUACAUCGGAAUCUACUUUUUCGUGGGGGAUAACGUAGGGAAACUUACGCUAAUACCGCAUACGACCUACGGGUUAAAGCAGGGGAUCUUCGGACCUUGCGCGAUUGAAUGAGCCGAUGUCGGAUUAGCUAGUUGGCGGGGUAAAGGCCCACCAAGGCGACGAUCCGUAGCUGGUCUGAGAGGAUGAUCAGCCACACUGGAACUGAGACACGGUCCAGACUCCUACGGGAGGCAGCAGUGGGGAAUAUUGGACAAUGGGCGAAAGCCUGAUCCAGCUAUACCGCGUGGGUGAAGAAGGCCUUCGGGUUGUAAAGCCCUUUUGUUGGGAAAGAAAAGCAGCAGGUUAAUACCCCGCUGUUCUGACGGUACCCAAAGAAUAAGCACCGGCUAACUUCGUG
rnacentral:rRNA from 1 species